AACUUUUAACAAUGGAUCUCUUGGCUCUCGCAUCGAUGAAGAACGAAGCGAAAUGCGAUACGUAAUGUGAAUUGCAGAAUUCAGUGAAUCAUCGAAUCUUUGAACGCACCUUGCGCCCUUUGGCAUUCCGAGGGGCACACCCGUUUGAGUGUCGUGACAUCCUCAAAACCUUCUUGGUUUCUUGACCGGGAAGGCUUUGUACUUUGGAGGUUUUUGCUGUCCUUCCUUUGUUGGAGCCAGCUCCUCUGAAAUGAAGUAGUGGGGUCCGCUUUGCCGAUCCUUUACGUGAUAUGGUGUUUUCUACGUCUGGGGUUUCGCACUGUUCGCUCUGGAUCCUGCUUCUAACUGUCUCAUAGAGGACAAUGGUCAAGUGAUUGCCACUUGACUCACACACCUUGCCCUCAAAUGGGGUGAGACUACCCGCUGAACUUAAGCAUAUCAAUAAGCGGAGGCU
rnacentral:misc_RNA from 1 species